AAAGCGCACGCAGGCGGUCUGUCAAGUCAGAUGUGAAAUCCCCGGGCUUAACCUGGGAACUGCAUUUGAAACUGGCAGGCUAGAGUCUUGUAGAGGGGGGUAGAAUUCCAGGUGUAGCGGUGAAAUGCGUAGAGAUCUGGAGGAAUACCGGUGGCGAAGGCGGCCCCCUGGACAAAGACUGACGCUCAGGUGCGAAAGCGUGGGGAGCAAACAGGAUUAGAUACCCUAGU
rnacentral:rRNA from 1 species